rnacentral:rRNA from 1 species
UACGAAGGUCCCGAGCGUUGUUCGGAAUCACUGGGCGUAAAGGGAGCGUAGGCGGCGUGGUAAGUCAGAUGUGAAAUCCCGGGGCUCAACUCCGGAACUGCAUCCGAUACUGCCAUGCUAGAGGAUUGGAGAGGUAGCUGGAAUUCUUGGUGUAGCAGUGAAAUGCGUGGAGAUCAAGAGGAACACUCGUGGCGAAAGCGAGCUACUGGACAAUAUCUGACGCUGAGGCUCGAAGGCCAGGGUAGCGAAAGGG